rnacentral:rRNA from 1 species
CCUACGGGAGGCAGCAGUGGGGAAUCUUGCGCAAUGGGCGAAAGCCUGACGCAGCAACGCCGCGUGCGGGAAGAAGGCUUUCGGGCUGUAAACCGCUUUCAGCAGGAACGAAAAUGACGGUACCUGCAGAAGAAGGAGCGGCCAACUAUGUGCCAGCAGCCGCGGUGAUACAUAGGCUUCAAGCGUUGUCCGGAUUUAUUGGGCGUAAAGAGUUCGUAGGCGGUCAAGUAAGUCGGGUGUGAAAAUUCUGGGCUCAACCCAGAGACGCCACCCGAUACUGCUUAACUUGAGUUCGAUAGGGGAGUGGGGAAUUCCUAGUGUAGCGGUGAAAUGCGCAGAUAUUAGGAGGAACACCGGUGGCGAAGGCGCCACUCUGGAUCGAUACUGACGCUGAGGAACGAAAGCAUGGGUAGCAAACAGGAUUAGAUACCCUGGUAGUCCAUGCCGUAAACGGUGGGCACUAGGUGUGGGUUUCUAUUAACGAAAUCCGCGCCGUCGCUAACGCAUUAAGUGCCCCGCCUGGGGAGUACGGUCGCAAGACUAAAACUUAAAUGAAAUUGACGG